rnacentral:rRNA from 1 species
GCUCUUAUGAAGUUAGCGGCGGACGGGUGAGUAACACGUGGGUAACCUGCCCAUAAGACUGGGAUAACUCCGGGAAACCGGGGCUAAUACCGGAUAACAUUUUGAACCGCAGGGUUCGAAAUAGAAAGGCGGCUUCGGCUGUCACUUAUGGAAGGACCCGCGUCGCAAUAUCUAGUUGGUGAGGUAACGGCUCACCAAGGCAACGAUGCGUAACCAACCUGAGAGGGUGAUCGGCCACACUGGGACUGAGACACGGCCCAGACUCCUACGGGAGGCAGCAAUAGGGAAUCUUCCGCAAUGGACGAAAGUCUGACGGAGCAACGCCGCGUGAGUGAUGAAGGCUUUCGGGUCGUAAAACUCUGUUGUUAGGGAAGAACAAGUGCUAGUUGAAUAAGCUGGCACCUUGACGGUACCU